CUAAGGAUGAUCCUUCAGAGAGCUCACGCUCGCUAUCGGAUCGUUUUAGAAACAUUCAGGGGCCGAUCGAUCGAAAGAUCAUCGAGCUCCAUUGGCGGGAUUUCGCCGUCUUCGUUUCUCUUUCUUCGCGGACGAACACGCGCCAGGGCUUAGCGCUUGUGCGAUGCAUCGGCGCUUGAGCCGAUUGCGCGCGAGCAGGCUUCUGGUGUCAGGGGCUUGUAGCUCAGUUGGUUAGAGCGCGCGCUUGAUAAGCGUGAGGUCGGAAGUUCAAGUCUUCCCAGGCCCACCAAUUCCAAUCGAGUGCGUUGUUAUCAUCGAGAUGCACCUGACGACCGACGUGAGCAUUCGUCUUCUGGUUACGGGGCCAUAGCUCAGCUGGGAGAGCGCGUGCUUUGCAAGCAUGAGGUCGUCGGUUCGAACCCGUCUGGCUCCACCAGCCUUCGCUGGCUGCGCCAGCUACGGCUCGGCAAGCCGAUGAUAGCGAAGGCUGCCGUGUCGCAGCUCGAAAGAGCGAAGACGUGCUGUCGAGGCAAUUCGAUCAACGUCAAUCGUCCGCGAAACAUCACUUCGCAUGUGUGAUCCUCACCGGAUCACAACAUGCGUGUUAUCUGACAUCGUAAAGAGGAGAUCGAUCCGAGUUUGGAUCUGCGGAGCAAUUCGUGGAUGCCAUUCACUAUCUCCGGGAUCAUUUCGGCGCUCGCUGAUCGUGAGAUGAGCGGGUUGUAAAUGAUCCUUGUUGGCGAAGCCUGACCGCCUCGCCAUCGGUUCGAUCUCACGAAGCAAGCUGGUCUUUCUAGUCAAUGUCCGGCUGCGCAAAUGAGGCUUCGGUCUCAACAAGCGCGGCAUACAUUCUGCCGAGUGUGUGGACAUUGAUAAUGAGAGC
rnacentral:tRNA from 1 species